CUGACCUUAGCUCAGUGGUAGAGUGGUGGACUGUAGUUGGACUAAUCUAAAUUGGAAAUCCUUAGGUCGCGCUGGUUUGAUUCCGGCAGGUUGGA
rnacentral:tRNA from 1 species